GUAAAGAAAAGGUAAGGUGAAUUCUCUUACCUGUGCUGGUUCUCAGCCUGCCGUCUGGGAGGAAAGUCCUUCCUCCCGCAGCCCCACGGACUCCGUAGCAUAGGUCCUUGGGCUGCUGUUCCCGAUGUCACC